GUGGCCCUCCUUCCCCUAGUUCUAUAUCGGGCCCGGAAUACCCCGGGCCCCCAUGGUCUAACUCCUUUUGAAAUAAUAUAUGGAGCACCACCCCCAUUUGUCCAUUUCUUUGAUUCAAACAUUGCUGAUUUUGCUGACAGCCCUUCUCUGAGGGCCCAUUUACAGGCCCUACAGAUUGUGCAGAGAGACGUCUGGAGACCUUUGGCCGCUGCUUACCAGGACAAGCUUGAGCAUCUGGUGGUGCCACACCCGUUCCAGAUUGGAGACACCGUGUGGGUGCACAGACACCAGACCAAGAAUCUCGAGCCACGGUGAAAAGGACCCUACACCGUCCUCCUGACUACCCCGACCGCCCUAAAGGUAGACGGAGUCUCGGCUUAGAUCCACACACCACACGUCAAGGCAGUCCGGUCUGAAGAAUUGACUAAUCACAACACUACACCCCAGACAUGGAGAGUUCAACACACUCCAAACCCCUUAAAGUUAAAACUCCUACGUGGCUCCUCCUAGCCCUUUUGUGGCCUAGAGUCAGUGGGGGAAUAAGCCCCCACCAGACAGAAAUUUCUUGACCAAGUCGAGUGAAAGAUUUCACUCAAAGUUAACAAAAAAAAAAAAAUGGGGGAAUGAAAGACCCCAGCUUAGCAACAGUAACGCCAUUUUGCAAGGCUGUACUUAAGAUGACUGGUUCAGGAAAAGGUUAGAACACUGAGUACACAGCGGCUGCCAAACAAGAUGUGUUUGGUUGAAGGCCUGGCAACAGGAGGACUGCCGUUGAGCACCUGACAAUGAAAAAAGCCCCGGGAGAGGUCCCACACCCUGGUGGGGGGCCGAGUCAGUUGUUAUGUUUCAAGAAGGUAGCUUGGAAACUUGCCCCCAGGCUAAACUCUUGGGGGGCCGAGUCAGUUGUUAUGUUUCAAGAAGGUAGCUAGGAAACUUGCCCCCGGGCUAAACUCUUGGGGGGCCGAGUCAGCCGUUAUGUUUCAGGAAGGUAGCUAGGAAACUUGCCCCCGGGCUGAACCCUUUGGGGGCCGAGUCAGCCGUUAUGUUUCAAGAAGGUAGCUAAAAAACAUUAAAAUCCACCAAUGAUAUCCCUAUAACCAUACAUCUGCUUCUGUAUGCUUGCUUCUACUCCCCAAAAUCCUAUAAAAAAGCCCAUCCUUGGUUCUGUGGGGCGCGCCAGUCCCCCGAGUGACUGAAGCGCCCACAGGUGCCUGUGCCUGUGUAUCCCGACAAUAAACCAAAUCCUCUUGCUGAUUAC
rnacentral:lncRNA from 1 species